GCUGGAUUGGUAUAUUGGAUGUGCAAGGGUCUUCUAAGCCCUCAUAGAGAGGUUCGAAUCCUCUAUCCAGCACCA
rnacentral:tRNA from 1 species